AUUGAACGCUGGCGGCAGGCCUAACACAUGCAAGUCGAGCGGAUGAAGGGAGCUUGCUCCUGGAUUCAGCGGCGGACGGGUGAGUGAUGCCUAGGAAUCUGCCUGGUAGUGGGGGAUAACGUCCGGAAACGGGCGCUAAUACCGCAUACGUCCUGAGGGAGAAAGUGGGGGAUCUUCGGACCUCACGCUAUCAGAUGAGCCUAGGUCGGAUUAGCUAGUUGGUGGGGUAAAGGCCUACCAAGGCGACGAUCCGUAACUGGUCUGAGAGGAUGAUCAGUCACACUGGAACUAAGACACGGUCCAGACUCCUACGGGAGGCAGCAGUGGGGAAUAUUGGACAAUGGGCGAAAGCCUGAUCCAGCCAUGCCGCGUGUGUGAAGAAGGUCUUCGGAUUGUAAAGCACUUUAAGUUGGGAGGAAGGGCAGUAAGUUAAUACCUUGCUGUUUUGACGUUACCAACAGAAUAAGCACCGGCUAACUUCGUG
rnacentral:rRNA from 1 species